UUAUCUGACGGAUUUCGGAGGGAAAAGCCUGAAGGAAACAGUACCAGUCAUAAUGAAGGCGGUCCUGACCCCAGGCAUCGUUCGCAACAAAAUAAACUUUACCGGUCAAAACAACAAAUUAACAUUUUGUAAAUCCAGUAUUUACAAAGUUAUUGAAAAAGUUUUGAGUGAAAAACAUGGUAAAAACGAAGCGGCGGACAUACCUGCCAGAAUUUCGAAGUGGUUACGGUAUACGCAUGAUAAUUGUAAAGAGAAGAAUAACGAAGAUGCGUAAGUCCAAAAAUCGAAGGUAUAUAGGACCGUAAUUCAAAAUUUUUACGGUUAAGAUGGCUCGGAGGUCUCAAAUCUUCAAGUUGUUUAAAAUUAUAAUUUAGAUUUAUCGUUUCGUGUAUUUUUAGAUUUUUAUAAUUACAGAUUUUUUAGAUCUUAUUCUAGAACUGUUUAGUUAAAUUCAAAAUUUAAUAAUUGAGAGGCGUUUCGCGAUAUGGGUCCUUGUGGUGAUUCGAUGUUUUUUUUUAUUGACGAUUCCAACUUACUUUUUCACGAGAAAUCGAAUGGUGUAAUCAGAUUUCGCCUAUCUCAUCAACUUCUCGUUUUAAAAAUUACUUUAACAUGAAUACUCAAAAACUCACAUUUUUGGGAAAUCAAAAAACAUAGUUUUUGUUUGUUUUUGAUUUUUUUUUUUUAAAAAAAGGUCGAUGGAAAAAUCAUUUUAUUGUUGUUACCUAUGUAAAAUUUCAUGGCUAAUCCGAAUUUCUCAGUAUUUUUUUGCGGAGUAGUCUGUAACGUUGUGUAAAUUUGGCUGUUCACCACAAGGUCUCUUUUCUAAAUCACUGAUAUCAGGCGAUGAUGAACGAAUUUCUUCAAAAUUUCCCAUCCAACCUAUGCGCAGGACAACACUGCACCCAAAAAUAAAAAAAAAAAAAAAAAAAUCGAAGCAAUUCGAUGUUUUUUCUCUCCUGAAAAAAAAACGAAAUAUCACCACAAGGGCCCUUAUCGCAAAACCCCUCUCAAUUUUUUUCAAGAAACAAUAAUUCUUUAUCAUCUCUUUUCAUUAAAAUACUCUUAUCAUUUAAGAUCAAGUAUGAUGCAACUAUAGUCUGGUAAUUAGUGGCCAAGGUAGCCUUACAUAAAGGGAAAUGAGAAUGGUACAUACUCAAACAAAAAGGUUCAUUUUUUUCUGGUUAAUGAUCAACUGAUUCAACUGAAGUGGAUAAAACUUGAUCACAUUUUGCAACAAGUUAAGAGAGACUUUGUUCUCAAAAAAUUUGCUGGACACCAGUUGAUGUGUGCACAGGGUUUGAUAUGAAAGCCAGUUGUGAUUUAUGGUACUGUGUAGUUUGUCAGAACACCGUCAUAUUUUACAAACUCGUGUGAACGAUUGCACUGUUUAUCUCGAUCAUUUUUCAACUGAUUCAACUGAAGUGGAUAAAACUUGAUCACAUUUUGCAACAAGUUAAGAGAGACUACGUUCUAAAAAAAUUUGUUGGACACCUGUUGAUGUGUGCACAGGGUUUGAUAUCAAAGCCAGUUGUGUUUUAUGGUACUGUGUAGUUUGUCAGAACACCAUUACCCAUUCAUAUUUUACAAACUCGUGUGAACGAUUGAGAAAAUUUAUGGAAUAAUUUUCUACAAAUUUCUGCGUUGUAAGGCACGCUCAUAUUAAUGAGAAUCGCUUAUUUAGGUAUAGUUGAUGACUGUAGUUGAUGUCAGAGUAAUACUGAGGGAAACUGUACUAAUAAAACCUUCGAUAACAGUUUAUUGCUACGAUAUCUUCAUGCAUUUCACUUUAUCAUGAAGAAAUGUUCGAAAGAAUGAUUCAAAAAUUUUCUGAUAAUUUAUAAUAGCUACAUACGUUGACAAAUUCACUAUAUUUUGGUAAAUUCGAAAAUUUAUUUAAUUCAAUAUUUUCUCAUUAAAGAAAUUUGCAUCUUUAUUUCUUUUUAAAAAAUAUGUUGAUAGUUGUAAGGCUACCUGACCUGCUAUGCACAACUCGUUGUUGAAUUCACUUUUUUUUCACUUGUAAACUAUGUAUAAAUUGCAAUUAUGUAUUUACAGUUGGCAUUUUUUGACUUGUUGAAGACGUUGUCACCCUACACACAUUUGUGUUACAUAAUAUGCGAAUGUUCUUAUUUUAAUUUGUCAUUUAAAACUUUUUUGACAAUCUCUUGGAGAAAUUUUGUAAUGUAAUUAAUUAUGGUUUGCAUUUAUUUUAUUUUAAUCUAAGUUUGAAGGCUAAACUACACAUUUACUGUGCAUCAUUGAGUUUAUUACACUGUUUUUUUACUGUGA